rnacentral:rRNA from 1 species
AUUGAACGCUGGCGGCAGGCCUAACACAUGCAAGUCGAGCGAGCGGCGGACGGGUGAGUAAUGUAUGGGGACUGCCCGAUAGAGGGGGAUAACUACUGGAAACGGUGGCUAAUACCGCAUACUAUCGGAUAACCCAUAUGGGAUUAGCUUGUAGGUGAGGUAACGGCUCACCUAGGCGACGAUCCCUAGCUGGUCUGAGAGGAUGAUGAGCAACACUGGGACUGAGACACGGCCCAGGCUCCUACGGGGGCAGCAGUGGGGAAGAGUGCACAAUGGGCGCAAGCCUGAUGCAGCCAUGCCGCUUGUAUGAAGAAGGCCUUCGGGUUGUAAAGUACUUUCAGUCGGGAGGCGUUACCGACAGAAGAAGCACCGGCUAACUCCGUGCCAGCAGCCGCGGUAAUAC